rnacentral:rRNA from 1 species
UACGUAGGCAGCAAGCGUUGUUCGGAGUUACUGGGCGUAAAGGGUGUGUAGGCGGUUUUUUAAGUCAGGGGUGAAAUCCUGGAGCUCAACUCCAGAACUGCCUUUGAUACUGAGGAGCUCGAGUCCGGGAGAGGUGAGUGGAACUGCGAGUGUAGAGGUGAAAUUCGUAGAUAUUCGCAAGAACACCAGUGGCGAAGGCGGCUCACUGGCCCGGUACUGACGCUGAGGUGCGAAAGCGUGGGGAGCAAACAGG